AUGAACGCUGGCGGCGUGCUUAAUACAUGCAAGUCGAACGGAGACAGUAGCAAUAUUGUCUUAGUGGCGAACGGGUGAGUAACGCGUUGGUGACCUGCCCCGAAGAGGGGGAUAACAGUCCGAAAGGAUUGCUAAUACCCCAUGUGGUCAUAAGGAUUAGAUGCCUAAUGACUAAACGGAUUUAUUCGCUUCGGGAGGGGCCUGCGUCCCAUCAGCUAGUUGGUAAGGUAAUGGCUUACCAAGGCUAUGACGGGUAGGGGACCUGAGAGGGUGGCCCCCCACAAUGGAACUGAAACACGGUCCAUACACCUACGGGUGGCAGCAGUAGGGAAUAUUGGUAAUCUGGGAAACCGGGAACCAGCAACGCCGCGUGCGCGAUGAAGGCCUUCGGGUCGUAAAGCGCUUUUUGAAGGGAUGAGGAAGGACAGUACCUUCAGAAUAAGCCUCGGCUAACUACGU
rnacentral:rRNA from 1 species